UAUGUGCUUAUAUUGUGAGUAGAAAGAAAUGCACUAAAAUAUGAAUAAUUUUUAAUUUCUUAUGUAGUUUCUAAAUAUUCUCUGACAAAAUCAGUUUAAAGGAGGGAGGAGGGAAAAAAAGAAAGAGCAGUCUAAAUUAAAUAUAGCCCUUUGUCCUUUAUAGAUUCUUAGUCAGAGUUCCAUAAAGGUUAGUGGGUGGAAGAGAGACGAGAAGACUGAUAACACUGACAUCUGAUUCUGCUCUGACACCUGGAUAAUGUUUUUCUUCUAAGAAGAAGACAUAAAAGACUUGGAUAAAAGAUAAGUUUGACUCCUUUCAGAGCAUAUUAAGGGCAAGCCAGCUGGGUAACUGCUAACCAAGCCAAUUUACAAAGUGUUUUUAACUAUCACCUCAAUAAAUACAAAAUUUGUUGCCAGUUAGUUAACUUCGAUCUCUCUACAUAUGAACAACCAGUGAAAAUAAAAUGAUUGACUUCCCCCUAGAAUAGGAAAUAACAAACAACAAAACAUAUCUUAAGUUUCUUUUAGCCCCUUUAAAUAAAUGUUGAACAUAUUCACAAAGAAAAUAUUUGACUGUAAACUAAAUCCUUAGCCUGUCUAGGGUCCGUGUAUUUUGGAAGGUUGUGCUUUAGUCUUAUUUCAAAGAUCUUGUUUUUGAGUCUGGUAACUUGACUACACUUACUAGAUGCUUAAACACAAUUCUUUCACCUAGUGUUCUGAUUCUAACUUCAUAAGAAAAGUUUAAAUAUCUCUGGAAGUUUUAAAACAGGAAUUACAUACUAACCACCUAGGAGUAAAAUUGAAUAGCCUGAAAAUAAAAACAAAAAUAGUCAAGGGCCCCUCAAAAUGACACAGAAUUGUCUUUAAAUUUUUACCUAAGAGUGCUUUUGUACACCACCUUUAAUUUAUCUGACUUAUGUUAAGAUUUUAUUUUAAAAAAGAAUAUCUCUAUCUAUAAUUGCUUCAUAUAUGUCCACUUUAGGAUUCUUAAUGCCUUCAAAAGUAGAAACCUUGGUAUUUUUUUUCUCUUUGCAAUCACGUAGAUUAAUAUAGUACUUUACACAUAAUCAGCAUAUAAUGUACAUUAUCGUAUGUAUGAAUAGAUAAGAUGGAUGGAAAGGUGGAUAGAAACAUGAGCCUAUUUUUAAAGACUUGGAUUUUAGGGCUUAACUACUCAGUAAGAAAAUAGUAUCUUCUCAUGGUAUCUAUUUCAAGCAAAGUAAAUAAAGUCUAAAUGUGAUGACUGGAUUCUGAAGAACAUGCCUUGAGGCUUAAGCAGCCCAAAAGAUGAUUAACCAUCUGUAAUUCUGGUUGUUUUUCUUUUUUUUUUUCUUUCUCGCCAUCACCUCACAGUCUUACUCUGCAAGUGUUCCUGGAAAAGCUCUCUCUAUAAAAUACUACCCUUCCCUCAUUGUUUGUAUAACAGGAAUAACAAUAAUGGCAUUUUAUAUUAUUUUGUAUAACACUUUGGGUUUAUAAAUCACUGUCAAAAUAAUUUUGAAGUAACCAUCUGAAGUAAAGAUGAAGAAAAAGGAUAAAGGAUGAGAGUCAACCCUCACAAUUAGUGUUAGAGCCUGUUCUCAAAUUCAGAUCUUCUGAGUACAAAUGCAGUGUUCUCCCAUUUGCCACAUACACAUCAGAUCAUCACAGAUUCCUUCAGCAUUGAUAGAGUUAAAAUAAUGGAUUCUAACCACUAGACCCACUGCUGUGUCUUCAUUUCUUAUUUUCUGCUAAUUACCACUUGCUAUCAACACCGCAUCUUUCAGGGAAAGUGACAAUUCAACUUCCUUCACUCAUACAUUUGAUAGUUUCCUCUCCAGAAAAAUAGGAAGCCUGGAGCAAACUAUGAGGACUAUGCUGAGGCUUUCCCCGCAGCUGGCCCUCCCCUUAAUUUUAAUGAAUUCUAAGACGGAAGAGGUAAAAUGGGCUGGAAAAAUGUACUGCAUGUAAGACUUAAAUGUUGCUCCAUGUGCCCAACAAGGUUGACAUAUUUGGGAUUUAGCUAUAAUAUUGUUCUACUAAUAAAGUAUGGGAAGAAUGCCUUUAAAUAAAGAGUAUUUGCAAGGCAGUUAAAAAUGUUAUCAGAGAGACUGAAAUUGAACAGGAAGCAUGAAGGCUUCAAAACCAUUCUCACUGUUUAACUGGGGGACCUGCUCCAUUAGCUCAGCUAAUUGAACACUCUGUUAUCUCACUUGGAUUGUCACUGCAGAAGAAAAAGGGGCUGUAUUUUUGCUCCCUGAAAUGGAAUAAAACUGGUGAAGAAAGCCAGGGGACAGAAUAUAUGCUGAUGACUUUAUUUUGACACUGGAUCUGUGACUAGAAUUAGCUGUGCUCAGAUAUAAAUAUCUUUUAAGACACAUUCCAUCCACAAGCAAUCUAUAUUAUAAUUGGCAACACUGGCCAAGAAGAAAUAAGAGUAGGGAAAAGAAGAAACUCUGCUAAUACUUAGGAAGAAAUAAAAUCUAUGUAGUGUUUCAUCUGAUGGUGAAAGCAUAUAAAAUAACAUAAGCAGCCAUAUUAUACUUAAACAUGAAUGACGGAAAGGGAGAGGUAGAAGAAAACACUUUUCUUUUUUAUACAUCUGUUUUUAGCUUUCUGCUCUUAGUUUUUUAAAAUACUGAAAUAAAAGAAGUCCCAUGAAUCCAAAUGAAUUUAAAGAUACCAAUAUACUUGGACUGGUUAUUUGGAUAACUACUUUGGAAAAAUAUUAAGUCAGAACCAUAUUUCAUAUCAUAUAUUAAAAUAUAUUUUAAUUGAAAUAUAUUUUAAUGGAAAAGCCAACAAUAUAAGGUGAGAAGGAAUUUCUCAUCCAAUAUUGAGGAUAUAAAGACUGAAGUUUUUUUGUAUACCAAGGCAUUGUUAAAAAAAAAUCAAAUAGGGGCCAGAUAAAGAUCACAAUGGAGAAAGGCCCUGAGCCCACCUCUUCCCAAAGACACACCAAAACUGUAACUACUUAUGUAAUGGCUGUCCCUGAAAAUGACCUGAGCGCUAGUAAGACAGAUUUUUCUACAACUAAGGGUAUAUAAAAAGGCCACACUGAGACAGGUAGGAAGGCAGAGACAAGGCCUAAUCAGAACACACACCCCUAAAAUCAGCCCACAAAUGGGAAGGAAUAACAACUAUGGAGGUCUCUCCUCAGGAAUUAAGGGUCCAAUCUUCACAUAGAGCUCCCCAGCCCAGGAGAUCUACAUGAAGAUGAGCCCCCGUAAUGUCUGGCUUUGAAAAUCAGUGGUGUUUAUAUCUGAGAGAGCCAAAGGACUAUAGAGAACUUUAGUUUUCUGAAACUAAAACUAAAGCUUGCUGAUACACAAACUCACUACUCAAAUUCUUAAUGCAGAGGCAGCAGCUUGAAAAGUACCUGGGUCAUGUGAGAAGGAGACUCAUUGAUUAAUUUUAUAGCAUGUGCUGGAGGGGCAGGAAUCUAGUGGAACUUUUUCCAGGGACAGAAGCACUAACAGGUGUCAUUUUUUUUUUUUUUUUUGUCUUUUUGCCUUUGCUAGGGCCACUCCCAUGGCAUAUGGAGGUUCUCGGGCUAGGGGUCUAAUUGAAGCUGUAGCCACAGGCCUAUGCCAAAGCCACAGCAAUAUGGGAUCCGAGCCACGUCUGCAACCUACACCAUAGCUCACGGCAGCGCUGGAUCCUUAACCCACUGAGUGAGGCCAGGGAUCGAACCUGCAACCUUGUGGUUCCUAGUGGGAUUCGUUAAUCACUGCACCACAAUGGGAACUCCACAGCAAAAAUGGUGAAUCCCACACCAGUGAAAAUGGCAAAUUUUUAAAAGCUAGAGUCAUAAAACUUAGACAAAAUAGGCUUUAAAACAAAGACUGUAACAAGAGACAAAGAAGGGCAUCACAUAAAGAUAAAGGGGGAAAUUAAGCAAGAGGGUAUAACACUUGUCAAUAUCUAUGCCCCCAACACAACACCUAAAUACAUAUAACAAAUGUUAACAGACAUAAAGGCAAAUAGGGACAGGAAUAUAAACAUAUGGUAAAGGAAUUUAACACCACACUUAAAUUAAUGGAUAAAUCAUCUGGAGAGACAAUAAGAAAACAUUGGCUCAUGGCACAUUAGACAUGAUAGACUUAAUAGAUACAUAUGGGACAAUCCACCUCAAAACAUCAGAAUGCACAUUCUUUUCAAGUGUACAUGGAAUAUUUUUUCAGGAUAGAUCACAUGAAAGUCCAUAAAACAAGUAUUAAAAAAAUCUAUGAAGUAUAAAAUCAUACCAAGCAUCUUUUCUGUUCACAACAGUGUGAAACUAUAAAUUAAUUACAAGGGUAAAAAUGGAAAAAAACAAAGACACAUGGAGGCUAAACAACAUGAUCCUAACCAACCAAUAGAAAAACAAAGAAAUCAAAGAGGAAAUCAAAUAAAACCUUGAGACAAAUGAAAAUGGAAAUACCGCUGUCCAAAUUUAAUGGGAUACAGCAAAAACAGAUCUAAGAGGGAAGUUUGUAGUAAAACUGGCCUACCUCAGGAAAUAAGAAAAAAUCUCAAAUAAACGAUUUAAUGUUGGAGUUCCCGUGGUUAACGAAUCCGACUAGGAACCAUGAGGUUGCGGGUUCGAUCCCUGGCCUUGCUCAGUGGGUUAAGGAUCUGGCGUUGCCGUGAGCUGUGGUGUAGGUUGCGGAUGCAGCUCAGAUCCUGCAUUGCUGUGGCUCUGACGUAGGCCGGUGGCUACAGCUCUAAUUCGAUCCCUAGCCUGGAAACCUCCAUAUGC
rnacentral:lncRNA from 1 species